UCUCCGUUGGUGAACCAGCGGAGGGACCAUUACCGAGUUUACAACUCCCAAACCCCAAUGUGAACGUUACCAAACUGUUGCCUCGGCGGGAUUUCUGCCCCGGGCGCGUCGCAGCCCCGGACCAAGGCGCCCGCCGGAGGACCAACCCAAAACUCUUUUGUAUACCCCCUCGCGGGUUUUUUAUAUCUGAGCCUUCUCGGCGCCCCUAGCGGGCGUUUCGAAAAUGAAUCAAAACUUUCAACAACGGAUCUCUUGGUUCUG
rnacentral:misc_RNA from 1 species